rnacentral:snoRNA from 1 species
AAUCUGUGGUGUGGGCAUUUUUGGAUAAACAUUUUAAAAUGUUCCCAAGCCUCGUGAAAACUUUCCCUUUCCAUUUGUCUAAAAACAACAAUUUCUCUUUUUAGUUG